AUUGAACGCUGGCGGCAGGCCUAACACAUGCAAGUCGAACGGUAACAGGAAGAAGCUUGCUUCUUUGCUGACGAGUGGCGGACGGGUGAAUAAUGUCUGGGAAACUGCCUGAUGGAGGGGGAUAACUACUGGAAACGGUAGCUAAUACCGCAUAACGUCGCAAGACCAAAGAGGGGGACCUUCGGGCCUCUUGCCAUCGGAUGUGCCCAGAUGGGAUUAGCUAGUAGGUGGGGUAACGGCUCACCUAGGCGACGAUCCCUAGCUGGUCUGAGAGGAUGACCAGCCACACUGGAACUGAGACACGGUCCAGACUCCUACGGGAGGCAGCAGUGGGGAAUAUUGCACAAUGGGCGCAAGCCUGAUGCAGCCAUGCCGCGUGUAUGAAGAAGGCCUUCGGGUUGUAAAGUACUUUCAGCGGGGAGGAAGGGAGUAAAGUUAAUACCUUUGCUCAUUGACGUUACCCGCAGAAGAAGCACCGGCUAACUCCGUG
rnacentral:rRNA from 1 species